rnacentral:rRNA from 1 species
CCUACGGGAGGCAGCAGUGAGGAAUAUUGGUCAAUGGACGCAAGUCUGAACCAGCCAUGCCGCGUGCAGGAAGACGGCUCUAUGAGUUGUAAACUGCUUUUGUACGAGGGUAAACGCAGAUACGCGUAUCUGUAUGAAAGUAUCGUACGAAUAAGGAUCGGCUAACUCCGUGCCAGCCGCCGCGGUAAUACGGAGGAUUCAAGCGUUAUCCGGAUUUAUUGGGUUUAACGGGUGCGUAGGCGGUCGGAUAAGUUAGAGGUGAAAUCCCGAGGCUCAACUGCGGAGUUGCCUCUGAUACUGUACGGCUAGAGAGUAGAUGCGGUAAGCGGAAUGUAUUGUGUAGCGGUGAAAUGCGUAGAGAUAAUACAGAACACCGAUUGCGAAGGCAGCUUACCAGUCUACUUCUGACGUUGAGGCACGAAAGCGUGGGGAGCAAACAGGAUUAGAUACCCGUGUAGUC